GCUCUACUCAAUUUUCUAGUUGGGUUAUUGGAAUUUUUUAUUCUGUUUUCAUCUCAGCUUCAGUCCUCUGCAAUGUUUCUCCUUAUUGAAUUCAUUUUUCAGUUCCUGUAUAGACUUAAUUGUUUUGAUAAAUCUUCUGUUUAUUUUUUGUUGGUCAUCACUUGGGUAUUUAAUUCUCCUUAAUUUCUUUCUCCUUAAUUUUGUUGAGCUGUUUUUGUAAACUCUUUAAAUUAUUUGAUGAAGUUUACUGAUUACUCCUUUUAAAUUCUGUGUACUAGAAUCCACCUAGGUAAUUCUUCUGGCAAACCUAGGUCUGGUAGGGUUUAGAGGUGAGAUAGUGGCUUGGCUUUUCAUUGUUUCUAUUUUUAAGAUCAGAUCUAGGCAUUUGAACUGCUUUUGUUAGUUGUGUUUCUCAUAUGUACAAAGUGUGCUCUGGAAAAUGGAAGAUAUGGUGGUGCUGCUCUGGCUUAGGUAGAGUGAAGUCAUAGACAGAAGAAACUAGGCUGGUAUGCAGGAUUUUCCUCCUGGUCCAAGUGUUGAGGGUAAAGAUAGAUCUCUUGGUAAAAAGAUUAGGUAUAACAUGGGAGAGGCCUUUGGGUUGGGGAGUAAGCAGGGUGGGCUGGGUCCUAGUAGAACCUUAUAGCUUAUUUGUGGCACAGGAAACAGUAGUCAGGUGAUGCUGAUGUACUAGAUGUGAGAUUCCGGUAAGAUCUGGUAGGUUAGGGAGUAUGUGAAGAGUGAAGAGAGUCAGGAUGCUCCAGGGAUAGACCCUGGAUGCAGCCAUCUCUUUUGACACCACAACCAUCAGAAUAAUAAUUUAGUGAAAACUUUUAUAAUGAAAUUCAUUCAAUUCCAUAUCCACAAUAAGGCAAAAAGCUAUAUAAAGAUUGUGACUAUUAUAGAAACCCUUUAUAAAGUACAUGUUAUACCUUCCAUAAAGGUGGGUUCUAUGAAUUGAUUGAAAAAAAGAAGCUUACAAUAAUGACCUAAGUAUGGAUCCAGUGGGGUAUUCCACCACACAGUGCAAAGGUUACCAGGCUAUUAACUACAUAUGCUCCUAGUCUUCUAGGUGGACAACAGGUUAUGCACCACUUCUUUUGAAGAAAUCAACCUAUGUAUUUAACAUUCCAGGCUCCCCUAGUGCAGUGCUUUUCAAUCUUCCUAAUGCUGUGAUUUUUUUGUAUAGUUCCUCAUGUUGUGGUGAAUCCAUUCAUAUAUUUUCAUUGCUACUUCAUAACUGUAAUUUUGCUACUGUUAUGAAUCAUAAUGUAAAUAUCUGUAUUUUCUGACAGUCUUAGAUGGACACUGUGAAAUGUUCAUUUGACUCCCAAAGGGGUUGUGACCCACAGGUUGAGAACCAUUGUUGUAAUAUAUAUAUUUUGUAAUACAUACAAUGUAAUAGUCUAUUCCUAUAGCUCUUGAUUGUCUUCCAGAGUUGGAAGGUACAUCUCUGUUGGUCAAAACACCAUGUACUUUAGACACAACACCCAGAAGACCCUGGAAUUGACUUGAAUAAAUGCCUCCUCCCUGAGGACUUGCUUUUCCUGCUAUCAAAACAAACUUAAAAGGAAGAGAAGCAAUGAGAAGUUGUUAAAAUGCCAGUGAACCACAGUAAUAAUUGAUAUAGCAUUAUAACCCUAAAGGUACAGUAAUGGUACACAUAACAGCCUUCUAAUUGGACUUACGAUGCACUCAACUUUGCUGCUGUUAUGAAUCAUAAUGUAAAUGUUUGUGUUUUCUGAUGCUCUUUGGCCACCCCUAUGUAAGGGUUAUUUGACUCCAAAGGGUUUGUAUUUCACAGGUUGACAAUCACUGCCCUAAUGCUUAUCUGUAAGCACAAAGACUUCUGUGUUUCCUAUACCUGAGGAAGAACUUGUAGCACCUGACUGAGUGAAGAGCUUCAAUCAUCAUACUUUUUAAAUGAAGAUAUUAGUAGAACUUAAAUCACAAAAACAUGCAGCUUCUUUUUUCUUUGUAUUAAGAAAGUUUUCACAUAUUUGCAGUGCAUAAUGAAUUUUACAUUUUUGUGCUGAUUUCUAUAUCAAUUUUUGUUCUUUUUCUCUCAACUAAUGAUUCACGUGUAGUCUUGAAGUCUUGUGAUAUAAUACCUAUACAAUUCCUUGUAUUACCCAGUCUUAUCCUUUUCCACAAAUUUAAAUGAGGUCUUAAUACUAGAAAAGUGUCAUCUGAGAACAGUGAUUAACAAACACACACAUACACACAGAUACAGUUCCCUAGGCAAAAUUUUUAUAGUAUAUACUGUUCAAAGCUCUAAAAGCAUGUGAAGUUCAUGAAAAUUGAAUAGCAAAGAUAAAAAUGAAAAUGGUAUACAUUUGACAAGGAGUAAUAAAGUUAGAUGUUAAGAAGACAGGCUCACACAGUCUCAUACUACAUGAGCAAGUAUAGAGAGGUAAAAAGAAACAUUUUCAUUUAAUUUUAUUUAUCAGUACAUUAAGAGAAUUGUUUCUUUUGGGAUUUUUGUUUGUUUUGGUGUUUUUUGUUUGGUGUUUUUUGUUUUGUUUUUUGGGGUUUUUUGUUUUGUUUUGUUUUGUUUUGUUUUUUUUGUUUCUCGAGACAGUGUUUCUCUUUAUAGCCCUGGUUGUCCUGGAACUCACUCUGUAGACCAGACUGGCCUCAGACUCAGAAAUCCGCCUGCUUCUGCCUCCCAAGUGCUGGGAUUAAGGGCAUGCACCACCACUGCCUGGCUGGUUUGUAAUUUUGUACCAUAAUUGAAAGUUAGGGUUUCUGAGAAAAAGCUUAUUCUGCUAUUUGUUCAUAACCUCCAUUCCCAUAACAAAAGAAUAUGAUGCUGACUUACAGGACAGUAGUUCUCAACUUAUGUUAUGAACUGUUUGAUACUGUUCCUCAUCUUAUGGCGACCACUAGCCAUAAAAUUAUUUUGUUUCUACUUCAUAACUAAUUUUGCUACUAUUACAAAUGUAAAUAUAAUACAAAUAUCUGACAUGCAUACUAUCAUUCAUAUAUGUAUAUGCAUACCAAUGUCGUGACCCACUGGUUGAGAACCACUCUCUAAUUUCAAAGGACAUGUCUAUAAGGGACAGCUCAAGGAGGAUGUGCAAAGUCAUAGCUAUCAUUAAGUCCUUGCCUGCCAUUAAGGCCCCCAUACUUUUACCAGUAAAACCAUAGUUCUGCCACGAAGAUGAACUGAGGUAACUACUUAAAAAGAUUAAAUAAAUAACACCACUGUACUUAAAUUAUUCUGACAAUAUAUUUGCUGUGUAAAUCCAUCAUGUGCUCAAGGGGUAGACUUGAUGGUUUCCUGUCUCAAAUUGUUCUGAGUGUAAUGUGGAGUAUAGUGGUUUUGGAAGAAAAAUAACCUUAAGACCUAUAUAAGCGUGUUUAAAUUGGGGAGGGCAGCCUCAAUCUGAGGCUGCUUCCAUUCUGUGUCAGGCAGAAGCAGUUGUGCCCUAUUAAAGAGUUUUUGCUUUACUGAUCUCCUAAGUGUGCCGUGAUUUCUUCAUUGGGGACACAUUAAUUCUAUAACAAAUUAACUUUUAAAAAUGAGAAUAUUUAUAGUGAAAAGAAUUAGUGAACACCUAAACC
rnacentral:lncRNA from 1 species